rnacentral:lncRNA from 1 species
GACAUUGAAUCGAGAAUCAUUUGAUUUUUAAUGGUUUCACGUGGUUUUGAAUCGUUGAGAUUGAAAUGAUUUUGGAAUGAUGUAAAGUCGAAGUGAUUAUGAAAUCGAGUUGGUAGUCUUGAAAAUGAUUGUGAAAUGAUAGUGGAAGAAAUCGAUCAUAAUUUAAUUAUCAAAAUUAAUUGAUUAAAGUUCGAUUAAAUCAAUUAAGAUUAAUUAUCAAAAUUAUUUAAUUGAAUCAAAUAAUCAAUUUAAUUAAAAUUAAUUAACUAAUUG